UGGGGAAUAUUGGACAAUGGGGGCAACCCUGAUCCAGCCAUGCCGCGUGUGUGAAGAAGGCCUUUUGGUUGUAAAGCACUUUAAGCAGUGAAGAAGACUCCAUGGUUAAUACCCAUGGACGAUGACAUUAGCUGCAGAGUAAGCACCGGCUAACUCUGUGCCAGCAGCCGCGGUAAUACAGAGGGUGCAAGCGUUAAUCGGAAUUACUGGGCGUAAAGCGAGCGUAGGUGGCUUGAUAAGUCAGAUGUGAAAGCCCCGGGCUUAACCUGGGAACGGCAUCUGAUACUGUUAGGCUAGAGUAGGUGAGAGGAAGGUAGAAUUCCAGGUGUAGCGGUGAAAUGCGUAGAGAUCUGGAGGAAUACCGAUGGCGAAGGCAGCCUUCUGGCAUCAUACUGACACUGAGGUUCGAAAGCGUGGGUAGCAAACA
rnacentral:rRNA from 1 species